rnacentral:rRNA from 1 species
UACGUAGGGUGCAAGCGUUGUCCGGAAUUAUUGGGCGUAAAGAGCUCGUAGGCGGUUCGUCACGUCGGCUGUGAAAUCCCGAGGCUCAACCUCGGGUCUGCAGUCGAUACGGGCAGGCUAGAGUUCGGCAGGGGAGACUGGAAUUCCUGGUGUAGCGGUGAAAUGCGCAGAUAUCAGGAGGAACACCGGUGGCGAAGGCGGGUCUCUGGGCCGAUACUGACGCUGAGGAGCGAAAGCGUGGGGAGCGAACAGG